rnacentral:hammerhead_ribozyme from 1 species
AUCCAGCCGACGAGUCCGAAACAGGACGAAACGCGAGUCCUGGAU